rnacentral:tmRNA from 1 species
GGGGACGAUUCUGGAUUCGACGGGCAAGAGAAGGAUAUGAACUGCAUCCCGGGAUUCUGACUAUCCCGUGAUUAGUCAGAGGCACUUAUAAAUGCCGAUUAUGAUUACGCACUGGCUGCUUAAUUAAGCCGCCACGCUUUUCAAACUCUCCAAUCUGCCGGGGAAUUGAAAAGCGCCGUUUUUAGGCAGAUUGACAUUUAGCGAUGUCCAUGCACUAAGUUGUCAUAAUCAAUGGACUGGUUUUCAUAUGGUGUGUCGGUAUAUCAAGAUGAAAACAAGAUUAAAUUACCGGCUAAGGAUGUAGAGGUUCAUGUUGGUCCUUGUUCGGACCCGGGUUCAACUCCCGGCGUCUCCACUA